UGUGUGUGUGUGUGAGUGCGUGUGUGGCUCCCCCAUACUGGGGACCUGCUACAGAUACGCAAGUCGUAAAAUGGGGACAUAAAAAACAUUGGGGACUUGAUUUAAGUCCCCAAUCUUUUUUUUCGUUGAAAACGAAAAAUUGACAUGUCUAAAUCCUAAAAAUAUCAAAAAAAUAACGUGUCCCAGUUACGGGGUUUUAUCGGACACAUGAUUACACAGAUAUCGUGUUGAUUGAAGUUGCCAUCUUCACUUACACAUCUCUGACGUUACACACUUCUAGAUUACGCAUGCGCGUGUGUAAAAAAAGCGGAAGUCCAAUUGUUUUGAAGCGGGAUACAAUAAACAUGUGGAAAAGAAGACACGGAGGAAAGCCUGGGCACAGAAUCCUAGAUUCUUUUGAUAAGGAUGAUUUUUAUGCUGGAAAACGAAUGUUCAAGGCAACCAGAAGCUUGAGUCCAUCCUGAACAUAGAGACAACACAGAUAUUAGCAAAGCUGGAUAAUAUUGCUAGAGGAUUAGUUAAUGCAACUCAGCAAGGACUAGUGAUGGAUAUGUUCCAGGUUCCACAGCUAGGAGAAUGUCAGGAAGAAAAGCCUCAUCAUUAAAAGUGUUACAGGCACUAAAGGAAAAUGAUGGCAUUGUUUUUGUGUGGGUGAUGAGAAUAAGAGUGAGGAGGAGAUAGAUGAUAGUCAAGACAAUCAGGAUGUCCACACCGUCACUCCAGGGAAGAAGAAGUCAUUUCUGAUCCUAGAUCUACUGUGGAAGAUUCUACAUGCAAGUGACAAGAGAUACAAAAAAAUCCAAAGGACAUCAUGAGAAAUGAAUUUAAUCAACAGACAUUGUGGAAAAGAUUUUCCAAAAAAUAGUAAUAGGACCUUAAGAAGUGUAAAACACCAAGGAUAUACAUUUGUAAUCUUGUUAAAAACAGAGAAAAUCUUGAUUAACAUUCUACUUUCAAUUGAUAUACUUUGAGAAAUAUGAAAAAAACUGUUUUAGAGCCACAGUAAUGGAGGACAUUGAAUUCUUUGCAGCAGUUUUAUCAUUAGGCCAUUCCAUUUUUUUUCUGUGUUUAGUGACUGCAGAUGGAUUGGUUUUGAGAUCAUGCAAAUUAAGAACAAACACAAAAUAAAAUUGACAAAUACAAAUCUUUGACAAGCAAUUUACUCUUCUGGGAUCAGCAUCUCUCUUUUUUUAAAAGUGAUGUGCCUAAGUUUUUUUUUUUUGUUUCAUUAAACUAGUAGUAGUAGUUUAAUUUAGUUAUAAUACGAGGAAAAUUCUUAAAUGAUGCUAAAGGAGUUCUAGAACUUUGCGUAAAAUGUUGUUUUUUCCCCUUUUGGUUUGUGAUUUUUCUUUUGGAACGAAGAAAUGUUUGAAAUUAAGGUUGGAUGGGAAACAAAGAAAAAAACUUGGAAUGGCCUCAUAUAACCUACAUGGACUAAACUUGCAUAGAUGAAGAGUGCUUAAGAAGCUGUGCAUGAUGUAUGUAGGAAAUGAUUUUGAAGUAUUAAAUAUUCUAUGCAAAAGGAAAUUUUCUCAAUUUAGUUAAUUUUUGCAAAAAAAUGAUUAAGCAUCACAUACAUAACCUUUCUGAAAGUGAAAAAAAUAUUCAUCCUAAUUAAGUUUGAUCAAGUCUUCAGUUCAAGUUAUAUGCAAAAAUACAUAUUUCAUUCUUUAUAAACACUAUGAUAUCCCUGUACUUUUCUUAUGUGAAUUGAAUGUAAAGAGUUGGGUUUGAUGCAUAAAUAGUCCUGUUCUUAUACUAGUUCUUUGAAAAUCACCCCCUGUCCCAUUUCUAACAUCAAAAUAAAGUAUGGAGAUUUCUCAUUUCCUUUAACAAAGAUUUUUCAUAGAGUCCUGAGAUUGGAAGUUAAACAAGAUUGCAAAGUUCUUGAAAUAUUAAAAAUGCAAAAAAAGGAAUUUUCAGGAUAUGAGAGAAUUCAAAUGGGACCUUGAGACUUGGUCAGUUAAUUGGUAUAUAUAUUGAGGGCCAUUUUAUGGAUAAAGUGAACCUAGCUCUUUUCACCAUUUACACUGUCACCAAGUAUCAAAAUGAUAGACUGAUGCAUUGGUUACCAAAACUGAGUACUUUUGAUUUUUCACAAUUCACAGGGCCAAAAAAGCUUUCAGUGAACCUUGCUCUUUAUUACAUUUAUGUCUGUAAACUUUUACCAUAUGCAAACAUCCUUUGUCUCUAGAAAUGCCUUUAUCUUCUGUAAGUCCCCAAACUUUUAACAUGUGUAUAAGGUCCUCAGUCUCUAUAAAUACCUGUAUCAUGUGUAAGUCCCUAAACUUUUAACAUGUGUAUAAGGUCCUCAGUCUCUAUAAAUACAUGUAUCAUGUGUAAGUCCCCAAACUUUUAACAUGUGUAUGAGGUCCUCAGUCUCUAUAAAUACCUGUAUCAUGUGUAAGUCCCCAAACUUUUAACAUGUGUAUGAGGUCCUCAGUCUCUAUAAAUACCUUUAUAAUGUGUAAGUCCCCAAACUUUUAACAUGUGUAUGAGGUCCUCAGUCUCUAUAAAUACCUGUAUCAUGUGUAAGUCCCCAAACUUUAAACAUGUGUAUGAGGUCCUCAGUCUCUAUAAAUACCUGUAUAAUGUGUAAGUCCCCAAACUUUUAACAUGUGUAUAAGGUCCUCAGUCUCUUUAAAUACCUGUAUCAUGUGUAAACCCCAAACUUUUAACAUGUGUAUAAGGUCCUCAGUCUCUAUAAAUACCUGUAUCAUGUGUAAGUCCCCAAACUUUUAACAUGUGUAUGAGGUCUUCAGUCUCUAUAAAUACCUGUAUCAUGUGUAAGUCCCCAAACUUUUAACAUGUGUAUGAGGUCCUCAGUCUCUAUAAAUACCUGUAUCAUGUGUAAGUCCCCAAACUUUUAACAUGUGUAUAAGGUCCUCAGUCUCUAUAAAUACCUGUAUCAUGUGUAAGUCCCCAAACUUUUAACAUGUGUAUAAGGUCCUCAGUCUCUAUAAAUACCUGUAUCAUGUGUAAGUCCCCAAACUUUUAACAUGUGUAUAAGGUCCUCAGUCUCUAUAAAUACCUGUAUCAUGUGUAAGUCCCCAAACUUUUAACAUGUGUAUGAGGUCCUCAGUCUCUAUAAAUACCUGUAUCAUGUGUAAGUCCCCAAUUUUUUAACAUGUGUAUGAGGUCCUCAGUCUCUAUAAUACCUGUAUCAUGUGUAAGUCCCCAAACUUUUAACAUGUGUAUGAGGUCCUCAGUCUCUAUAAAUACCUGUAUCAUGUGUAAGUCCCCAAUUUUUUAACAUGUGUAUGAGGUCCUCAGUCUCUAUAAAUAGCUGUAUCAUGUGUAAGUCCCCAAACUUUUAACAUGUGUAUGAGGUCCUCAGUCUCUAUAAUACCUGUAUCAUGUGUAAGUCCCCAAACUUUUAACAUGUGUAUGAGGUCCUCAGUCUCUAUAAUACCUGUAUCAUGUGUAAGUCCCAAAACUUUUAACAUGUGUAUGAGGUCCUCAGUCUCUAUAAAUACCUGUAUCAUGUGUAAGUCCCCAAACUUUUAACAUGUGUAUAAGGUCCUCAGUCUCUAUAAAUACCUUUAUAAUGUGUAAGUCCCCAAACUUUUAACAUGUGUAUGAGGUCCUCAGUCUCUAUAAAUACCUGUAUCAUGUGUAAGUCCCCAAACUUUUAACAUGUGUAUGAGGUCCUCAGUCUCUAUAAAUACCUGUGUCAUGUGUAAGUCCCCAAACUUUUAACAUGUGUAUGAGGUCCUCAGUCUCUAUAAAU